AAAGUACUAGUAAAACUAUUACAUAACUUUGUCAAAGUUAAAUUACAGGUUGAACUCCUGUGUAUUUUU
ensembl:Mt_tRNA